GACAACAAGGCCAACAAGGUCAUUCACCCAACCAUAAUCACUGAAGGCAUCAUGAUCACAUUCGUGCCCCACGACCCAAGCUCCCGUCAAGACACACCCCUGGACAGCAAUGUAAGCAGCCCAACCCACGUAAUUCAGAGGGUGUGGAAGAUACUGGUCUAUGUAAUUAGUGGCAACAUAGUAGAGAGCAUAGGCCAUGAGGAGAUCUUGAAUGAGGUAUCGAAAAGAAGUGACAAGUGACUUUUCGAAGCAAUGAGCAGGAAUGGCCUUCUUGAGGUCACCAAUAGUGAAUGGUGGCUUCUCAUGAGGAGCCCUUCUGAGUGCUUCUGCUUCAGUUUUCUUGGCAUUAGAAGGAGCAGACAUGCGCCCACCUGCACCCAUUUUUUCUCUAGUGUAACAAAGAAUAGGCCAAUGCUAUUCUCCUACUCUGUUUGUUUUGCUUUUGCUGUGAAUAUUGCUAACAUUACAAGUUGAAUAUUUAUAGUGAUGCUGUAGAGUUGCAGUGUAGAAUUAAGGAACAGCUGAAAACGCCCGCCAGCACGCCAGCCACUAGAGACUUUUACUAAACUACAAGCUCAAAUUUGUGAGUGUGUUGGAAUCACGAAAUAUAUGAGAUUAAAUAAAUGAAAAUACAAGAAACUGGUGUGCUGCUAUGCUGGUUUUAACUAGUAGUGCACCUUUUGGUUUUUUGUGGCUGACCAAAAUCUUGCUUGUCUAUGUUCAAAUAUUCCGGGUCCUAUUUGGGGGCUUGUAUUGUUACUUUCUUGCAUAUUUUAUUACAAGAUAUUUCAUGAUUUAAAAAUUAUAAGAUAUAAGAUUCAUUUAUAAGUGAAAUUCCAAUAAUGGGGUGGAGUUGCUCACUCAUUUUUACGAUGUUUUACGUGAUUGACAGGUCUUUUAUAUGUUUUUUUUUUGUUGCAAGAAUUUCAAAUAUAAAACUAUUUUGUAGUCCGAAUUUUUUUUAUUAUGUUUUACCUAAUAAAUACGCAUAAUAUGUAGAAUCUCAGAUGUACAAGAUUAUCAUAGACAUAAAAGAACAAUGUGAAAGUAGCAUAAAAAAGAACAAUAAUACAACGAUAGGAGAUAGUCCAAAAAUAAAUCCAAUUAAUGGAACCCUUUGCCCGGAUUUUUAUGCCUGGGUUUCAAUCUUUUUCAAAGUUAAACGAAAAACUGCAAUAAACCAGAAAUCAACUUAUAGUCAGAAUAUGGUAGAAUGUACUUUUUGAAUCUACUUAUCUUAGUUUUAUUAUACUUGUUAAUAACUCAUAAAUCCCUUAUAAUAUAAAAUUUUACAAACAGUUAAUUUAAGCCAAUCUGUUAUCAUAUUAAGUUAUUACAGCUUAUCAAAAAAAAUUUAGUAUUACAAGAUUCAUAAGCUAGAGUUUUGCCCACUAAAGUAAACUUUUACCAAUCAUGGUAUCAUUCAUAUAUCUAGUAAAAACAUUGUAAUUUUCACCAGAUCAGUCCGGGUCUCUGCAUUUUGAACACAGGUUAGAAAACUUUAAAGUACCGAACUUAAACACCAACUCACUGCAAUAGCCAAUACUCAAGCAGAAUCUGAAUUCAAAUUAUUAUUACUAGUCUCCUACUAAAAAAUAUAGACGGAAUACAGAAAGUUCAACUAUAUUUGCAAGUAAAAACUACUAGUGUCUAACCACCCAGGUGACUAACUUCAUCUAUUCACUUCUUAAACAUCCAACUUAUGAUCCAAAAACACGCCGAGCACUUGCUGCAUUUCAGUAUGUCCAAAAACCUUGAAGAACAAAAUAAAGACAAGCAUCAUAAGAUCAAACAUUCAAUAAAAGCAUGAAAAUAUCAUCGAGAAAUUUCUGAGUCUAUUCAUUAUAACACGCAGAGUUGAGGUCUGCAACUCCUUUAUAGUACAACAUUGAAAAAAAUAACUGAAAUUGACAAGGCAACUUUGGUCAAAACAAAUCAAGCUAUAUAUCCUUUCGGUACCAGUAGACUCCUUUAGUCUCGCCUUCAUCUUUCUCCACGUAAAUGCAUUCCUUCAUUUCUCGGUACAUGGCCUUUAGAAUUGGAGUUCCAUCAUAUUGAUAGUAAUCUCCAAGUAAAGGCUUCAUGGCCUCUGUGGCUUCUAGUCCGUGGUAAUGUGGGAUCAUGGAGAAUAUGUGGUGACAGACAUGAGCAUUGCACACGUUGUGGAAUACCUUGUUCAGAAUUCCAUAAUCUCUGUCAACAGUGCAGAGAGCUCCUCUUAACCAGUCCCAUUCAGUUGAGUCGUAGUAAGGAAUCGAAGGAUGAGUGUGAUUGAGGAUUGUAAUUAAUGUAAACCAUCCGUUGACAACUAGCAAUGGACCUCCAUAAACACAGAAAACCCAAACAAAUCCUUUGGCUAAUACUAGAUUGUACAGCCCAUAGAUAACAGCAAGAAUGGCAAGAUCAGACACAAUGAUCUGCUUGCGCUCACGUUCUGUGUAAAGAGGGCUAUGGGGAUCAUAGUGAGAAGUCCACCUCUCAUACUUGUGUCCCGAAACAUUGAACAUCAGAUACAGAGGGAAGCCUAUGAGGAGUGUGGUAACCCACACAAGGACACGGCCGGGUGGGUUGUUGAGAAUUUUGUAGUAGUUCCGGAUGUUGGACUUGAACCUCGGGACAUAAACCUCGUCGUUCUCAAGUGAUUGAGUGUUGGCGUGGUGACGUCUGUGGCUAAUUUUCCAAGAGAAAUAUGGAACCAUGAGAGAAGAGUGGACAAUAAGGCCAACAAGGUCAUUCACCCAACCAUAAUCACUGAAGGCGUCGUGAUCACAUUCGUGACCCACCACCCAAGCUCCCGUCAAGACACACCCCUGGACAGCAAUGUAAGCAGCCCAACCGACGUAAUUCAGAGGAUAUGGAAGAUACUGCUCUAUGUAAUUAGUGGCAAUAUAGUAGAGGGCAUAGGCCAUGAGGAGAUCUUGAAUGAGGUAUCGAAAAGAAGUGACAAGUGACUUUUCAAAGCAAUGAGCAGGAAUGGCUUUCUUAAGGUCACCAAUGGUGAAUGGAGGUUUCUCAUGAGGGGCACGUCGAAGUGCUUCUGUUUGAGUUUUCUUGGCAUUAGGAGCAGACAUGCGUCCACCUGCACCCAUCUUUCCCUGGUGAAGAAUGCAAAUAUUGCUACUCUUCAACCUUGUUGCCUUUGUUAUGUGUUUAGUUGUUUCGUUGUUGUUAUUACCUCAGACCAGCUUGGAUAUUUAUAAGGAUGUCGAAAUUAGAAAUGAGUUAAAGUCCUUAAGGCCCGCCAGCCAGGGGAGGAGUUUGAACUUUGAAUAGAAAGAGUAGGAAAUUAAGUGGCGUGCUCGUGUACAAUUAUUAGUGUCACUACUGAAAUGUGCAGUCAUAAAAUGAGUGCUGCACCAAAAUUUUCUCUUAAAUUCCAGGUCCUGCUUGGCGGCUAUACUAUCUUCAUCAACUUAUUGUUGUCUUGUUAUGCUCUUUUAACAUGCAUAUCUUUUGAUAUCUUCUUUCUCAUAUUAUGCAUUUGCUAAGCUUACUCUAAUACCAAAUAAAGUAGCUGACAUGAUGAAAAAGCAAAUUAACACACCUAAUUUAUGUCUCAUCCGAAAACAGGCUCUUUGGGGGAAUUAUUCUUUAUCUAAUAAAUGAGGUAAAAUGAUUAAUAUUCGAUAAAAUGAGUAGUGAAUGAAAUAUUCCUGUUCCAUCUUUACAAUCAAUCAUCUUCAGUUCCUCAAGUUUACGCUUAAGUGGAAGUUAUUUCUAUUUACUUCCUCCGGAUUUACAGUUAGUCCCAAGAAAAGUGUGGCAGCUGGGCAUUAGUUCUAGCAUGCAGGUUCCAGGUUACGAGAUCAUUUAUCAUCAAAUUGCAGAGGCAUACUUAGCCAAGUUAAAUUAAUGUUGGAAACUGGGAUCAGAACUUUAAUUUAAGCUGCUUGAUGUUCCUUUUUCAGUUCACUCACUACUAGGGAUGGCAACGGGUCGGGUUUCAUGAGAUCUAGACCCGAUCCAUUAUAUUUCGGUUCGGGUCCGGGUCUGAAAAAUGAAGAUCCAGAUCCGAUCCGUCGGAUUUUUUCGGGUUUCGGUUCGGGUUCGGGUCUAAUUCGGAUAUUUAAAAAAAAUUAAAAAUUAUAUAUCUAUAAAAAAUGUGAUGGCUUAUUUUAAAAAAAAAUUAGGAAUAUAAAAAAGGACUUUACAUGUUUCAUUUAGUACAAUAAACACGUGAAACAUGCUAACUUAAUUAUAUACAAUCAUUCAACUUAUCAUUUAUAUUUUAUUAUAUUUAGAUUUUUUAAUGCACAAUAAUUGAGAAAAUUAAAAUAUUGAUGAAAUUAAUAUAUAAAUUAUGUAUUGCGCAUAUAAUAUUAAGUAAGAUGUUAAUACGCAUACAUAAUAAUUCAUAAUAUUUCAUAUAUAUACUUUACAUUUAACAAAUAAUAUAUAUAUAUAUAUAUAUAUAUAUAUAUAUAUAUAUAUAUAUAUAUAUUAUAUUUGUAUGUGGUUUUUAUUAAGAUCCAGAUCCAGAUCCAAACUUUUUCGGGUCUAAAAAUAAGAUCCAAAUCCGGAUCCAGAUCCACAAAAAUCGGGUUCGGAUAGAUCCAAUCGGGUCGGAACGGGUCGGGUAUCCAUCGGGUCGGGUAAAACUGCCAUCCCUACUCACUACUAUUGAAGUGAUAGUUUAUACUCCCUCCGUCUCAAUUUAUAAGUCCAGUUUGGAAAAAAAAAUUGUCCCAAAAUACUUGUCCCUCUCUUCUUUCAAUACAAAUUUAUCUACAUAUUAAUUGUGAUUUUUUUUGAAACUCAACAAUAUUCUCACUUAUCAAUGCACUAAUUAAUGAUACAUGAGAUAAGAUUCUAUCUAACUAACUUUUUUCUUAAUAUGUGUGUUUAUUCCAAAAUCGACUUAUAAAUUGAGACGGAGGGAGUAUUGAACUUCAUUUCAUGACAUUUUAUAACACUGGAAGUUGCUUCAUCACUUGUAUUGUGUACAAAUAAAAACACACAAAGCACUCAUAUUAAUCUGAGCUUAUACUGUGAUUAAUUUUGCAUUCAUCUUACUGAAUACAAUCUUAGUUUCAAUUUGCCAAAAGCCUCGAGGAACACAUCAAAUGGCUCAAUUCAGACCAAGUAUGCUAUGAAGAUUAAGACGACGCUGUCUGUAAAUAUUGUGCAACCAUGUAAACAUUCUGCCAGGACUGUUUCAAAUUGUUGUGUUUGCAAUAUAUGGGUAAAUCUGGGUAACUCAUAACUGUAAUGUCCAAGAUUUAAAUUACGACCUCUCCUAUUGCUACGUACAAUUAAAUAUGAGUUUCUGACUCAUAAACUGAAACAAGCUGCAAAACAGAAUUAUUUCCCAGUUACUUAAGCUUCUUCUUCUUCUACUUUAGUAGCAUAAAAAUCAAAUUGUUUGAUAUUACAAAAAUUCUGAAAAUUCUGUGUAUUGCAUUGAAAAUUUGUUUUCAACUACUUACCUUAUUGUACAACAUCACAUUAAACAAUCUAAAGUUACUAGGAUUCUAGGAAUAAAAGAAGACAAUGCAGAAAUAAGUGAAAGAAUUAAAUCGAGGUAGUCUCUAACACAUUGAGCUAAAUAUCCUUUCUGUACCAGUAGACUCCUUUGGUCUCGCCUUCAUCCUUCUCCACGUAAAUGCAUUCCUUCAUUUCUCUGUACAUGGCCUUAAGUAUUGGAGUUCCAUCAUACUGAUAAUAAUCGCCCAACACUGGCUUCAUGGCCUCUGUUGCUUCAAGUCCGUGGUAAUGUGGGAUCAUGGAGAAUAUGUGGUGACAGACAUGAGCAUUGCACACAUUGUGGAAUACCUUGUUCAAAAUUCCAUAAUCUCUGUCCACAGUGCAGAGAGCUCCCCUCAACCAAUCCCAUUCGGUUGAAUCGUAGUAAGGCACUGAGGGAUGAGUAUGGUUAAGGAUGGUGAUCAAUGUGAACCAUCCAUUGACAACAAGCAAUGGACCUCCAUAGACACAGAAAACCCAGACAAAUCCUUUGGCUAAUACUAGAUUGUACAGCCCAUAGAUAACAGCAAGAAUGGCAAGAUCAGACACAAUGAUCUGCUUGCGCUCACGUUCUGUGUAAAGAGGGCUGUGGGGAUCAUAAUGUGAAGUCCACCUCUCAUACUUGUGUCCAGAAACAUUGAACAUCAAAUAUAGAGGGAAACCUAUGAGAAGUGUGGUAACCCAGACAAGGACACGACCGGGUGGGUUGUUGAGAAUUUUGUAGUAGUUCCUGAUGUUGGACUUGAAUCUGGGAACGUAAACUUCAUCAUUCUCAAGCGACUGAGUGUUGGCGUGGUGACGUCUGUGGCUAAUUUUCCAAGAGAAAUAAGGGACCAUGAGAGAAGAGUGGACAAUAAGGCCAACAAGGUCAUUGAUCCAGCCAUAGUCACUGAAGGCAUCAUGAUCACACUCAUGGCCUACAACCCAAGCCCCGGUGAGGACACAGCCCUGUACAGCAAUGUAAACUGCCCAACCCAAGUAGUUGAUUGGAUGGGGUAAAUACUGGUCUAUGUAAUUUGUGGCAACAUAGUAAAGGGCAUAGGCCAUGAGGAGAUCUUGAAUAAGAUAUCGGAAAGAAGUGAUGAGUGAUUUUUCGAAGCAAUGAGCAGGAAUGGCUUUCUUGAGGUCACCUAUGGUGAAAGGGGGUUUCUCAUGAGGAGCACGUCGAAGUGCUUCUGUUUCAGUUUUUUUGCCUUUAGGAGGAUCCGACAUUCGCCCACCUGCACCCAUUGCCCCUCACAAAAGAAGAUGCAAAUGUUGCUACUCUUCAAGUCACUCUUGGUUUUUGUUGUGUGUUUAGCUGAAGUUGCUCUGUAUUUCCUUAGAACGGGCUCGCUUGUAGAUUUAUAGGAAUGUAUGAUAUCAACAUGUGCGUAGAUAGAAGUGUGGUGAAGCUUAAAGCGCCCGCCAGCCCGCCAGGCAAGGAAAAGUUUGAAUAAACAACUUUGAAUUUGUUAGUGUGUUGGAAUAAAAGAGUAGGAAAUUGCACUAGUUCAGUCGUUUUCAAUGUGUGUUUUAGAGAAGUAUGCCCACAUGAACUGAUUGAGUCGCUAUGUUUUCUCUACGUUUCAAGGUCUCCCUGGGCGGCUGUACUUUCAUAAAUUAUACUCCCUCCGUCCCUCGUGCUAGUUUACGUGCACUGUUUGCACGCAUUUCGAAACUCUUAUAAAGUAUUGUAUUAUAAUUUUUUUUGAAUAAAAGUUUAAACAUCAAACUUUUAUUCAGAGAAAUAAAAAUUAAAAAAUAUAUUAUGAAACUAUACUUUAAAUGAGUGUGGAAAAACGUGCCAAAAAAUAACGUAAAGAAAAUGAGGGGACAGAGCGAGUACUCUUUUAACAUGCAUACUUUUUGUUUUUUUCCCUGAUUUUAUUCGUUUAGUUAUUACAAUAACAGAUACGGUAGCUGACGUUAGCCUAGAAAAUCAUACAUAUCAGAACUGCAAGCAUAUAAUUUGAACUGAUAACGUUUCACUAAUUUAACAUUCAGAACCAGCAGCUUUUUCAUUUUGAUCGAUAGUAGUUUAUGCAUUCGAGUUGAAGAUUGGAAAAUACAAACAAUAGAGAAAUGAUUUUUGAGAGCAACACAAACUUCUGCAUAACAAGUCACUUUCACAAGGAAACUUACAAUGACUCCCCACAAGCUAGACCAAGUGCUUUAAAAAGAGACGAGGCUGAAUUCAAAUCUCAUUUGCAGCUCCUCGUUGUUCACUGGACUGAAGUCGAGUUGUUAACAGUACGUUUUAACUUAUCAGAUACCUAAAUGAUAAGGGGUGAAAUAGAGAUAUACCGUUAAUCAGUAAAAUAUAGCACAGCUAGUUUUUCAAAAGGAACAAUGUUUUGGUUAAGAAACAGAAUCAGAAAAUCCUAUCGUAAAGGCUGAUGCAUUAAUAUGUUGUUAUGUUCAUGCAAAAUAUUACCUUGCUCCUUACAACUAAAAAAAGGAGCUGUCAGACAGACUUCUUGGAUCCAACUGCUGGCGACGAGCUGGCUGUUUAAAACUUCCCUGGCCAUUGAGAGCCACGGACUAGGACCCAUAAUAAAAUCCUUAUUUCCUCUGUUCUUUUCAGUUUAAAAGUUUUUCAUAUCAUAUAGGCAGUUUCGGGCAAUUUAUCAUAGAGGAAGACGCUGCUGUUUACAACGCAUUGAUAAAGAGCGCGGAGCACCCUGUAUGUUUGAGGAGUCUCUGAUUAGGCUUAAAAAGAUUAUUUUUUGUACCAAAGAACUCAUGGUUCAAUGAUAUUUUCCUCGAUCUACUUGCAGGAUAUUGAGGUACCAUUUGAAAGAAAUUAGUUCGUAUGUUAUUCGGCAAUCUCCACAAAGACACAAAAUAUUCAUUUUUACCCUUAAAAUUAAUUUAAACUUGCAUUUUUUUAAUUUGUCUACUAAUUUCAUUCACCAGAACACACUGAUUAGGCAAAAGAUAGCUGAAUCCGGACCAAUUUUUUUUCAUCAAGAUUUAUAUAAAGUUGUCAGUAGCCAAUAAAAAUGAGUGACCUGUGAUCAACUAAAUUAUCUAAAGCUGUCGAGCUGUGAUAUCUUGAUGAUUUCUGGGUCAUCGUAACAUAUCAAAUAAAACGCCUCUCCUCUCUUACGAGUACAAAUCUUGUUUGGUUAUGUUUUUCCCAGACCCAGACUGAGAACUCUGUACUUGAAGAUACCUUUUCUGGUAAAGAAAUGGCAAGUCCCACCGCCCUGAAUCCGUACUCAUCAGCAAAAGGGAACUGAUUCAACAUCGGGUGGUAUGCAGAUAUCAAGACUACUGCAGACAAUUAGCUAGCUUCAUUUACCUGAAUAACCUCAUUCGUUUCAAGUCUUAAACUUGAAACUGAUGACUAAAUAUAUGCCAUUUUUAUAUGAAAUUAUAUUCUUUUGCUCGGCCAUUAAAUUAAACCAAAAGGACAGUCAACAUUAAGAAGGGAGAAUUUAAGCACGACUGCGAAGUGCAUAUAAUCAGAAAGGAAAGUUACUCCUGAUCUUGAACAGAUGAAAGGUUAUAUAUAACUCUUUAUGUAAUUGUAACACAUUUGACCCUAACGAUCUAAAGUUGGCAGGAUCAAUGGAAGGCAAUGCGAAGACAAGUGAAAGAAUAAGAUUCUUGUAAUACCAAGCACUUAAAACUAAAUAUCCUUUUUGUACCAGUAGACUCCUUUGGUCUCGCCUUCAUCUUUCUCCACGUAAAUGCAUUCCUUCAUUUCUCUGUACAUUGCCUUGAGAAUCGGAGUUCCAUCAUACUGAUAAUAUUCACCCAAUACAGGCUUCAUGGCCUCUGUGGCUUCGAGUCCGUGGUAAUGUGGGAUCAUGGAGAAUAUGUGGUGACACACAUGAGCAUUGCACACAUUGUGGAAUACCUUGUUCAAAAUUCCAUAAUCUCUGUCCACAGUGCAGAGAGCUCCCCUCAACCAAUCCCAUUCGGUUGAAUCAUAGUAAGGCACAGAGGGAUGAGUGUGGUUGAGGAUGGUGAUCAAUGUGAACCAUCCGUUGACAACGAGCAACGGACCUCCAUAAACACAGAAAACCCAGACAAAUCCUUUGGCUAAUACUAGAUUGUACAGCCCAUAGAUAACAGCAAGAAUGGCAAGAUCAGACACAAUGAUCUGCUUGCGCUCACGUUCUGUGUAAAGAGGGCUAUGGGGAUCAUAGUGUGAAGUCCACCUCUCAUACUUGUGUCCCGAAACAUUGAACAUCAAGUAUAUUGGGAAGCCUAUGAGGAGUGUGAUAAGCCAGACGAGGACACGGCCUGGUGGAUUGUUGAGAAUUUUGUAGUAGUUCCGGAUGUUGGACUUGAAUCUAGGGACAUACACCUCAUCAUUUUCAAGGGAUUGAGUAUUGGCAUGGUGACGACGGUGACUAAUUUUCCAAGAGAAGUAUGGCACCAAGAGAGAAGAAUGGACAACAAGGCCAACGAGAUCAUUAAUCCAAUUAUAAUUGCUGAAUGCAUCAUGAUCACAUUCAUGACCCACAACCCAGGCCCCUGUUAACACACAGCCUUGAACAGCAAUAUAAGCUGCCCAACCCAAGUAGUUGAUUGGAUAAGGAAGAUAUUGGUCGAUGUAAUUAGUAGCGACAUAGUAGAGGGCAUAGGCCAUCAGAAGAUCCUGAAUGAGAUAUCGAAAAGAAGUGACUAAAGAUUUUUCAAAGCAAUGGGCAGGAAUGGCUUUCUUGAGGUCACCAAUGGUGAAAGGAGGUUUCUCAUGAGGAGCACGUCGAAGUGCCUCUGUUUCAGUUUUUUUGACACUAGAGGGAGCAGACAUACGCCCACCUGCACCCAUUUUUUCUUUCGAAGAAUAUGCAAAUGCUCUUCUUCCUCUCCUUCUGGUGUGUUU
rnacentral:lncRNA from 1 species